GACGAACGCUGGCGGCGUGCUUAACACAUGCAAGUCGAACGCUGAAGCUCAGCUUUUGUUGGGUGGAUGAGUGGCGAACGGGUGAGUAACACGUGAGUAACCUGCCUCCUUCUUUGGGAUAACGCCCGGAAACGGGUGCUAAUACUGGAUAUUCACUGGUCUUCGCAUGGGGGUUGGUGGAAAGGGUUUUUCUGGUGGGGGAUGGGCUCGCGGCCUAUCAGCUUGUUGGUGGGGUGAUGGCCUACCAAGGCUUUGACGGGUAGCCGGCCUGAGAGGGUGACCGGUCACAUUGGGACUGGGAUACGGCCCAGACUCGUACGGGAGGCAGCAGUGGGGAAUAUUGCACAAUGGGCGCAAGCCUGAUGCAGCGACGCCGCGUGAGGGAUGGAGGCCUUCGGGUUGUGAACCUCUUUCGCUCAUGGUCAAGCCGCAACAAUGGUUGUGGUGAGGGUAGUGGGUAAAGAAGCGCCGGCUAACUACGUG
rnacentral:rRNA from 1 species